AUUGAACGCUGGCGGUAGGCCUAACACAUGCAAGUCGAACGGCAGCACAGUAACAGCUGGCUCUUACGGGUGGCGAGUGGCGUACUGGUGAGGAAUACAUCGGAAGCUACUUUUUCGUGGGGGGUAACGUAUGGAAACUUACGCUAAUACCGCAUACGACCUGCGGGUGAAAGCAGGGGAUCGUCGGACCUUGCGCGAUUGAAUGAGCCGAUGUCGGAUUAGCUAGUUGGCGGGGUAAAGGCCCACCAAGGCGACGAUCCGUAGCUGGUCUGAGAGGAUGAUCAGCCACACUGGAACUGAGACACGGUCCAGACUCCUACGGGAGGCAGCAGUGGGGAAUAUUGGACAAUGGGCGCAAGCCUGAUCCAGCCAUACCGCGUGGGUGAAGAAGGCCUUCGGGUUGUAAAGCCCUUUUGUUGGGAAAGAAAAGCAGCAGGUUAAUACCCCGCUGUUCUGACGGUACCCAAAGAAUAAGCACCGGCUAACUUCGUG
rnacentral:rRNA from 1 species